rnacentral:rRNA from 1 species
UACAGAGGGUGCGAGCGUUAAUCGGAAUUACUGGGCGUAAAGGCGACGUAGGCGGCCUGCUAAGUCGGACGUGAAAUCCCUCGGCUCAACCGGGGAACUGCGUCCGAUACUGGUGGGCUCGAAUCCGGGAGAGGGAUGUGGAAUUCCAGGGUGUAGCGGUGAAAUGCGUAGAUAUCUGGAGGAACACCGGUGGCGAAGGCGGCAUCCUGGACCGGUAUUGACGCUGAUGCGCGAAAGCCAGGGGAGCAAACGGGAUU